AAACCAACAGGGAUUGCCUCAGUAACGGCGAGUGAAGCGGCAAAAGCUCAAAUUUGAAAGCCUCGGCAUUGUAAUUUGAAAAGCCCCCACACACAUUAUACCACGUCAAGUCCAUUGGAAAAUGGCGCCGCAGAGGGUGACAGCCCCGUAGACUGCCGUAUAAUUACCUCGUGGUGGCUUCAAGAGUCGAGUUGUUUGGGAUUGCAGCUCUAACGGUGGUAAAUUCCAUCAAAAGCUAAAUACUGGCGAGAGACCGAUAGCGAACAAGUACAGUGAUGGAAAGAUGAAAAGCACUUUGAAAAGAGAGUGAAAAAGUACGUGAAAUUGUUGAAAGGGAAGGGCUUGCUCGGCUGCGGAGGUCGGGGAAAAGGAGGCCAAAACAAGCAAGGAAUGUAACUCUCGAGUAUUAUAUCCUCGCCCACACCCUCACUUCUCCCCGUGGACCGCUAACAGGAUCUCCCCACACCCUAGCAAGUCGC
rnacentral:rRNA from 1 species